CUGCCGCUGCCGCUGCUGCUGCUGCUGCUGUUGCUGCUGCAAUAGAACGUGAUCGUUUCCCUACGCCGACUGCAUUCAAAUGAGUUUUGAGCAUUGAGCGAAAGCUUGGCUAAGCGAAAGCUUAGCUGAGCGAGAUUAGCAAAAACUUGCACUCAAGCUGUGCAAUUUGACACGCCGCAAACUUAAUACCCUUGCGGCAUAUGGCUAAAAGCUGGGAUCUGGGAACUUUUUGAUAUAGUAUUCCAAUAAAAGUUAAAGAUAUAGUAA